GAAAACUCUGCUCAAAAUGAAGCUACCACAGGAGGUGGAUAUAUCAAAGCAGCGACAUUUUUGUUCCCCAGGCACCACAUCAGUUUUUUUCAAAGUCCACUAAGACAACAGUUUCUCCUCAAACCACCAUGGAUCAUAGCAUAAGAAUUUCUUCUUUGAUGAGCAAAGCAAUGUCCACCUGAAUAAGAGAAGGGACUGUCAAAGCAAGGGAAGCCUUUACAUCUACACGGGCAAAUACAGCAGAAUUGAAAUUCCCUUGCCUGAAA
rnacentral:lncRNA from 1 species